GUGGGGAAUUUUGGACAAUGGGGGCAACCCUGAUCCAGCAAUGCCGCGUGCAGGAAGAAGGCCUUCGGGUUGUAAACUGCUUUUGUACGGAACGAAACGGUCUGGGUUAAUACCCUGGGCUAAUGACGGUACCGUAAGAAUAAGCACCGGCUAACUACGUGCCAGCAGCCGCGGUAAUACGUAGGGUGCGAGCGUUAAUCGGAAUUACUGGGCGUAAAGCGUGCGCAGGCGGCUAUGCAAGACAGAUGUGAAAUCCCCGGGCUCAACCUGGGAACUGCAUUUGUGACUGCAGUGCUGGAGUACGGCAGAGGGGGAUGGAAUUCCGCGUGUAGCAGUGAAAUGCGUAGAUAUGCGGAGGAACACCGAUGGCGAAGGCAGUCCCCUGGGCCUGUACUGACGCUCAUGCACGAAAGCGUGGGGAGCAAACAGGAUUAGAAACCCCAGUAGUCC
rnacentral:rRNA from 1 species